rnacentral:lncRNA from 1 species
AUUAAGUGUGUGGGAAAAUUACUGCCAGCUUUCUCCCUUGGGGUCACCUGCCCCACCCUCAGGUCCGAGGAAAUGCAGGUAUGUCUGACGGGAGUGAAGUGGCCAAGGCCCAGAAAGCAGUUCCUGGAGGAGCGGCGCCAACCAUCUUCUCCCGGAUUUUGGACCGGAGCCUCCCAGCUGACAUUCUAUAUGAAGAUCAGCAGGUGGGGGUCCCCUUAGGGCCCAGCCCUCUUAAGAAUGUCACAGGUGCAGUGGCACCUGAUGGCCUGAGGAAGUAACACUGAUCUCUCACCUGUCACCGCUCCCAGUGCCUAGUGUUCCGAGAUGUAGCCCCUCAGGCUCCUGUGCACUUCCUGGUCAUUCCUAGAAAGCCCAUUCCUCGAAUUAGCCAGGCUGAAGAAGACGACCAACAGGUGAGGCGAACAGGGUCAGUGGCUUGUCUGGGUGGAGCAGUGGAUGAAGCUAGUGGUUUGACUCCUAUGGGGAGAGCUACCUCUGCCUCUGCCCUCUCCCCUUAGCUUCUAGGACACUUACUCCUCGUGGCCAAGAAGAUAGCACAGGCGGAGGGUCUGAAAGAUGGGUAUCGACUUGUGGUUAACGAUGGGAAGAUGGGCGCACAAUCUGUGUACCACCUGCACAUUCACGUACUCGGAGGCCGGCAACUGCAGUGGCCACCUGGUUAAACCUGCCAGCUGCCCUGGGACCGCGGGCCUGGAUGCUUGGAUGGAGAACCGGAAAAGGGAUCCUGUGAUGUUAAUAAACGUAUUUCCCCCUCCGA